rnacentral:rRNA from 1 species
CAGUAGCCGCGGUAAUACGUAGGUGGCAAGCGUUGUCCGGAAUUAUUGGGCGUAAAGGGCUCGCAGGCGGUUUCUUAAGUCUGAUGUGAAAGCCCCCGGCUCAACCGGGGAGGGUCACUGGAAACUGGGAAACUUGAGUGCAGAAGAGGAGAGUGGAAUUCCACGUGUAGCGGUGAAAUGCGUAGAGAUGUGGAGGAACACCAGUGGCGAAGGCGACUCUCUGGUCUGUAACUGACGCUGAGGAGCGAAAGCGUGGGGAGCGAACAGGAUUAGAUACCCCCGUAGUCCCUGUCUCUUAUAC